rnacentral:misc_RNA from 1 species
AACUUUUAGCAAUGGAUCACUUGGCUCUCGCAUCGAUGAAGAACGCAGCGAAAUGCGAUAAGUAAUGUGAAUUGCAGACUUCAGUGAAUCAUCGAAUCUUUGAACGCAUCUUGCGCUCCUUGGUAUUCUGAGGAGCAUGCCUGUUUGAGUGUCAUUAAAUUCUCAACUACACUGACUUGAUGUGGCUUGGAUUUUGGGAGUUGUGGGCUAUUUGUAGUCUGCUCCACUGAAAUUAAUUAGCGGUACCUUGUUGGAACUGUCUACAUGUGUGAUAAUUAUCUACAUCCUAGACAUCUGCUGGAAUGCUGUGUUCUAGACCUUACUUGUAUUGACAAUCUUGACCUCAAAUCAGGUAGGACUACCCGCUGAACUUAAGCAUAUCAAUAAGCGGAGGCU